AUGUAAAGUAGAAGUCUUUCAAUGCAAAACUAUAUUUACUUGGGGGCAGGAGGCUGUUACUAUUAAGCAGUUGUAAACUUGCCACCUUGGGUUGAGUAUCAGUAUCAGCUAUAACUGAAUUUUGUGUUCAUGGCUUGCUGAUUAUCAGAAUAUAAACUAGAAGAAGAAAAGACUGGUAAUGUGGGCUUGCUACAAUCUGCUGUAGCCCAGGAAGAAUCUGGAGACUGCAGAAAGCUGGGAAAGACAGAAAAGCUGUUGAGUGGUAGCGUACCUUAAGAAAGACUUGCCAUUAAGUGGGGUACCCCAAUAUUUGGAAGGGCAUAAUGAGAAUUUUCUGCCUGCCCCCUGAAUUCCUCCCACCACAGAUCAUGGAGCACUCCCUGCUCACAAUGCAUUAAUUGCAAAUUAACUUCAGACCCAUAGAAUGGAGGACAAAAGCUGCAACAACUUUGAGGUGCUGCAUGAAAGGAUGUGAGUGAUUAAGAGCACCCUUGGUGUUCCAGGUCCUGGCUGGGGAACUUUUUAUUAUAAACCCCUGAGAUUAUUCUAAGAAACAGACUGUAACCCACCUCCCUGUGAAGCCCAAAUAUAUUGCUCUGUGUUGUGAUGCUGUGAUGUCUGACAAGAUACACUGACUCCCAGGAGGCUGGGAAGAAGUAAGAAGUAGUUUGCUGAGACUGUAACAGGCACCUGAUCUGCUGGUUGUGGGGGACUCAUGGUGGUGCGGAGGUGGGGAUACAAACCAACCAGUUCAUCAAAUGAAGACAGGAUCCCCAUCUCUCUGUUUAGUCCUAUCUGGGUUGUCCCAUCUGAGAGGCAUUAAUUUGGAGAGCUGAGCUGUGAUGGCUAACGUUGUCAACAAGAAAUGCUCCUGCAUUUAGGUUGGCUAUAGGGCCAAGAGACUCUGCUCCCAGUUCAGUGCAUGGCAAAGCUCCUACUACUGCUGUCAGCUGCUGUCUUACAGCAGUAGAAUGAGCUUUUGGAAAUCUUGACCUACCUCUGCCACUCAGCUUGUCUUCUAAGACCACAGGCCUCCCUUUUUUUUCACUGUGCACCUGUCUCCUCACAACCUCAGAUCACCUCUUCCUUCCAUUUUGAGCAUUUAAUUGAAUAUGGCUAUUUAGUGAUUAAAAAUCACAGUGGGAAACUGGAACUGUCCCUCUGUUAACUCUUAAUAUUCUGGCAUUUAUCUCACUUCCAGCUAGUCAUGAAGGGAAAGACUAAGAACAGGAUCAGGCAGGCAAAAAAGAUGGCCAGUGCCUAGCUCCUGAUGUAUGGUCAUUUUGUGCUGAAUGGAGAAUCCAUGCUGUCUGAUAAUUGUGCUGGCCAAAGCCCAAAUUUUUUGGUUCCCUAUCAUGGGGAAGAGAAUGGAUGAAGAACCAGAGGAACCUAGGGUUUGAAUUUUGGCUGGGUCCCGUUUGCUGCUCCCAUCAACAGUGCCCCAAGUGCUAAUUAUAAUUUCCUUAUUCUGCUUUGGUCAGGGCAUAUGACAAAGUGGGGUGAAAGCCAAAAAUAAGCAGCCCUCAGAAUAGCCCUCUCCACAUCUCCCUGCUAAUGUCAUCUCUGAAGAAGACUGCUUGUUCCCCUUCAGAUGAGCUUUCAGAGGUUAUUUUAAUCCAUUUUUAGUGGCAAACAGCAUUUAUCAGAAUAAGUGUGGGCUGGUCUCCAGCUCCUUCAGAUCUCUGACAGCCUGGAGGGGAAAGUCUCUGAAAAAUAACUGAGUGUGCUUCUACUGCAUGUUGCCCUGCCCAGGGGAUUUUGGGGACAUAAUAAGGAAACAUUCAUCUGAUGGACCAGAGCCCAGGAACCAGUGCUUUGCUAAAACCAGCAAUUCCCCUGUCAUCAGCUCCUGUUCCCAGGAUUCAGAGCUCUUGUUCUUGUCAUCAGUGUGGAUGUUUUCAGAUUCAAUUUAGCAAUCAUUAGGAGGCAAGAAGCAAGGUUGGAAAAAAGGUUAGAGAGGCACUCAUUUCUGAGUCACUGCUUAGAACAUGACCCCCGCUAACUGUGUUCAAAAAUUGUCACUGACAGUCAUCUCAUGGCCACUCGGUGGUCUCCGAUGUGUUUAUGAUCUUUGCCAAGUUCAUAAACUCUUCAAAGUUAUAUUUUUGAAAAUGCCAUAUUGAACACAAAUUGGCAUUCCCAGGGAAGCAAACCUGGAACAGGCUGUGAAGAUUAAAUUCUCCCUUUCCCUGGAGGAAUUUUAUACUAGGCAGUACCUCAGGAUCUUGCCCUAAUGCUCUAUCUCAGUGGUCUGUCUUGAUCUCUGGGACUGUCAUUUUUCACCAGUUCUAAACCAAUUUUAACAUAUCUUAGGAAUAAUAUAUGUGGUGGGUUACUGCCUGACUUCCCUGGGCAAGGGGUUGACAGGCAAGGGAGAAAGAGCCAACAGAAGGGUAGAGGAUAACAUGAGAGAUGUUGUGGUUUGACAGAGGUUGCCACAGGAGAAAUUUAGGAAAAUAUUGCUACAUUUGUUCUCAUUUGUCAGAGUGACUUUGAAGACCACUUGAUCUGGUUUUAAUCCAUUGAUAUCUCUUGUAUUCAAAACCAGGCAUCUGAAAUGCAGAUCAGAAGAGGUUCACGACCAGUACUGUGAAGAAAGUCUGUUGAGUAUGUGAUACCUGAUGCAAUUUUGGAUCCACGAUCCUGGCUCUACAUCAGCAUUACAAUGACAAAUUUUUUGCUAUGCAAUGGAAACUUGUUGCAUUUCAUCAAGAAUAGGAUGGCACACAUCCAUUUCUCUCUCUCUCUUGACCUGAAACCCAAUUAUAUGUUUUAUCAUGUUCUUAAUAUGUCAUGUGUUUUGACAGUCACAAUAAACAUCUCAGGAUAAUACAGGAAUUUUCACAA